rnacentral:rRNA from 1 species
UCUUUUUCCACCGGAGCUUGCUCCACCGGAAAAGAGGAGUGGCGAAGGGGUGAGUAACACGUGGGUAACCUGCCCAUCAGAAGGGGAUAACACUUGGAAACAGGUGCUAAUACCGUAUAACAAUCGAAACCGCAUGGUUUUGAUUUGAAAGGCGCUUUCGGGUGUCGCUGAUGGAUGGACCCGCGGUGCAUUAGCUAGUUGGUGAGGUAACGGCUCACCAAGGCCACGAUGCAUAGCCGACCUGAGAGGGUGAUCGGCCACAUUGGGACUGAGACACGGCCCAAACUCCUACGGGAGGCAGCAGUAGGGAAUCUUCGGCAAUGGACGAAAGUCUGACCGAGCAACGCCGCGUGAGUGAAGAAGGUUUUCGGAUCGUAAAACUCUGUUGUUAGAGAAGAACAAGGAUGAGAGUAACUGUUCAUCCCUUGACGGUAUCUAACCAGAAAGCCACGGCUAACUACGUGCCAGCAGCCGCGGUAAUACGUAGGUGGCAAGCGUUGUCCGGAUUUAUUGGGCGUAAAGCGAGCGCAGGCGGUUUCUUAAGUCUGAUGUGAAAGCCCCCGGCUCAACCGGGGAGGGUCAUUGGAAACUGGGAGACUUGAGUGCAGAAGAGGAGAGUGGAAUUCCAUGUGUAGCGGUGAAAUGCGUAGAUAUAUGGAGGAACACCAGUGGCGAAGGCGGCUCUCUGGUCUGUAACUGACGCUGAGGCUCGAAAGCGUGGGGAGCAAACAGGAUUAGAUACCCUGGUAGUCCACGCCGUAAACGAUGAGUGCUAAGUGUUGGAGGGUUUCCGCCCUUCAGUGCUGCAGCUAACGCAUUAAGCACUCCGCCUGGGG